CUUUUAGUCAAUCCAAACUUAGUUUGAUUAUGAUAAACUUCUUCAUUAAUUAGGAUUCGUCAACUAGUCACACUAUAAAAAAGGGAUUAGAUUAGUCAGAUUUCAAAACUAAUUGUUUCCAACAUAAAUCGUCCCAAAUUACUAGAAAAACAAGAAGCCUUUCAUCCAUUAGAAAUUAUUUCAAAGCAUUACAUACACCAUUAUCUCGAACUUGCAAUCGUAUUUUUGAAUCUAUCGAGUUAAGAUAUUUUUGUGCAAGUGUUUUCAUUUCCUUAUACUUUUAUAUUCAAUUAAAUAUGCAUAGAUUGCCAGUAGACAUUCGGAUUCCAUAAAAAGCGAGAUGAAAUCUUACGGGAUUAUAAGAGGACCUAAGAUGGGUAUAUCGCUUGAUCACCAAUAUACAACAUAAGCGCAGAGUGGUAAGAAGUGUAAAUUUUAUUUUUUUAUAUAAUUUUGUAUGGAAAUUGUUGACGUCAAAAUUAGCAAGGUUAAUCUUAAUCCAACUUUAAGAAAAAAGGCGAUUUAUUGUUGAAAAAGACCACAAAAUGUGUUUAGAAAGUGUAAUUGUGUCAUGAGUUGUUAUAUGAAUUCAAUUGCCCUUUACAAGAGUCCUAUUCAACUAUUUAUACAUAAUUUCAGUUGAAAUCACAUCAAAUCAGUCAAAUCAGCAACAGUACCGAGCUCGGACUCGGGUCGCUGAAUUCUCCUGUGAUUGGUCGACGAGGUCGAUGGCCAUCUGUCAAUGUUUUUCCCAGGUAAUGAUGACCUGCAAGGGGCUUGAGAAUUAGGACUUAGGUUUGGUAGUUUCGGGCGGCGAUGAUGUCACCUGCAGCAAGUGUAUUUGAUUGAUAGGGUGAUGUGACAGGGGAUAAUCAUGAUGUUUUUCUGAGAUAACGGCGGGAUUGUCCGACCUAGUAAUAGGAACCGAACUCCCAUUUGCCUGAGGUGGGGUUAGCGAACUGUUUUAACUUAGAUCGGAGUUCGGUUGUCAACAGUUACCCCCAGGUCAGUUCUGUCGUGGGGGGCUGACCUCAGUGAUGCUUUCUCUAAGAAGUGUAUUUAUUAUUGCACCAAGUGUCAUCUUUUGAUGGGGAUUAGCUGUACGGUAUUUGUAAGUAGCUUCUUCAGCAAGCUUGGUUAAAACUAUGUCAUUUCGGUCUCUCAGGCUUCUGAGCUGUUGAUUUUCCCCUCAUUUCUAGAUAGACGGUUCAGAUCGUGCCCUCUCAGUUUUUCUUUCUUUAAAUUCCUUUUGGCCAGUAAUUUCGCCUCCUAUUUCACUGGUUUAUUCUCUCUCAAAUAUUCGUGCAAUCUCCUGAGUUCGUUUUUCCAUUUUCGAGUAAGGUCGUUUUCCCAGUUCAUUUCCCAGGUAUUCUUCUGUUCUUAUUUUUCUUCCUCCUUUCAGUUUGUGCUUUGUUUUCUAGUUUAUACAUGAGUUCGGAAGAGUCUAGAGUUCAUUCCUGGGGAAACCAACAGGAAGAGUCAAUUCCUCUUUCGACGAGUUCGUCCUCUAGUUGUAGGGAAGUUUUCACCCCUAUUCCUAUUUCCAUAAUUAACCCAAUCGACUUAGGAUUUCUUGUCAUGGACUUUGGAUGUUAGGGUUCCAAGGGAGAGGGUAGAUCCAAUAAGGAUGUUGAGGAGAGUAAUUCUGGAGAGUGGGGGGGACGAGUUCGUACAGGUCGGUCGUAACAAGGGAUAUGUUAGCCAGCUGGGGAGCUAAAUACGCUAUACCUAGUUCGAUAGUGAUGAUAAUACCAGAACCAUCUGACUGAGCUGACACUCUUCCUGAGGGAUAUGUUGCUCUGAACUCAGCUAUCCUUCAGGCCGACCUUAGACUUCCCUUUCCUAGGGCGAUUCGUAAAUUCCUUUCUUCCUAGGGCAUAGCUCCACACAGUUAUGCCCUAACGGGUGGCGAACCUUAAUCAUCGCCCUUAUUCUGUGGGACCAAAUGGGGAAUCUCGAGCUUAGUGUCCAGCAGUUCGACUCUCUGUUUACUUUUAAGGAGGAUGGAAGGAACUCGGGUUGGUGGUACACAAGCGUUAUGCCCAGGAAAGGGGGUUCUCUGGUGUUAGACACUCCUUCCUCAGUUAAGAAAUGGAAGGAAGAGUGGUUAUAUGUAUCGAGGGAGUGGCAGUUUCAUUCUGCCGGGGUGAAUAGAGAGGAGGUGGUCCCCAGGCUCUAUCAUUCUUUAUGUAAGUGUUUUUGGGCUUUAGUCUUUUAGCAAGACGUAUGUUAACGAAGUACUGACCUCGGUAUUUUUCCUUUGUGCAGAUUACAAGAAGGAGACGUUAACCAAAGAUACGCAGAGACGAGCUAAGGUAAUAAGAUCGUUAUCCAAAAGGCAAAGGUCAUGUAAGUUUGUGAUCUUAGAUCCGAACUUAUUCCGGGUCGGCUUGGUGCAAGUACGAUCUUCAAGUUCAGCUCCUUCCAAUUCAGGUUAUAUUUUAACCCUCAUUCGCGGUUGUGGUAUAUAUAUAUUGAGCGUUUCACUAUUUUCUCAGCUCAUCAAGACGAGAUGCGGGGCACAAAGCAAUAAUGGCAGCGGUUGCGGUCAAAGGAAAAAAGAGAGAUGUCUCAGAACGGUCGGAGAGCCAUUCUGAAGAGGUAGAGGAGGAGGUUCCACUAAAGAGGAACCGAUCUCGCCCCCGAUUGCACUGAAGAUUCCUGAGGCUGUGCCUUUAUCGAGCCCGUCUCCUACUCUAUCGUCGCCUUCUUUGCCAUCCCCAAUUGCACCCUUUGCUGUCGGGACCAAUUCUGUGAACUCGUAGGAGAGGUGCCCAGAUUAACAGAGGCCAAGCUUGGAGAGUUAAGUGGGACACCGACCAAAGAUAUUUCUUGAUUAUCUCCGAGCUCCUUCUCCUUCUAAGGAGGUGACUGCCACGCUCACUUCACCAUCGAGAGAGUUAGCUAAUCUGCUUAUUAGGAGCUUGGGUGAGAGAGAGCAGGGCUAUCUGAAUGAGAUGUCCAUUGGUGAGGCCUUGGUCACUGCUCAGCUCCAUGGUCACCAAUCAAUUUUAUACAUGAUGGCAAUGGCGGACAAGGUAUACUUCUUACUUUAUGGUGUUUUUUUUUUUUUUUUGAGCAACUAUUUUAUUGACUUACUUGAUUUUUGAUUUUUGAAAAACAUGUGAAGUCUGAGCUGGACAAGAUUAUAGACGCAAAGGAUCAAGCCUUUAGUCUUUAUAACAGCAUGGAGGCUGAAAAUGCCCAGUUUGCUCGAAGGAGAAAGAGUAUGAAGAGAAGCUGAAUCAAAUGAGGAUCGAGCUGAACUCCAGGAUCGAUGUCGAGGAAAAGCUGAUGGGAGAGAUCAAGGCCUUAACGGCCUCAGAAGAAGAAGCCAGAGCUCGGGCUGAGGAGCAUGGCAAGGUCAGGGAGGCCAUCCAGAAAGUGUAGGAGGCCAACGAAAGGGCAAGGAAGGCCACCAGAAGGGCUGAAGAGGCUAAAGCCAAGGCUGAUAGAGCGGUGGAGGCUUGGAAGGAAUCCCCCGAGUUUGACGUCGUAGCCAAGGACAUCUACGUGGUAGCACUGGAGGAGCUGGUGGGGCACAUCAGGAAGGAGAGGCUUGACAUUGACGUGGCCUUUCUGGAUGAAGCGUUGGACGGGCAGAAGGAGGAGCUGCGAAAGUUGUCUGAGGCUGCUGGAGUCCGAAUAUUACCGAUUGUCCAAGAUGUUGAGGAUAGUACCCCAGCCCCCCAAGACCCCUAGGAGGGUUUUUUUUUUUCUUUCAAAACAUUGUGUGGUAUUUAGUUUUGUAAUAUGUUUUGGCUUAUUAGUGAAUUUCGUUUUGAUGUUUCAUGGCAUUUUGUUUGGAAUGGAUGACUGUUUAUGCUCAGUA
rnacentral:lncRNA from 1 species